AUUGAACGCUGGCGGCAGGCCUAACACAUGCAAGUCGAGCGGAGCGGCGGACUGGUGCGUAAUGCCUAUGAAUCGGACUCGUCGUGGGGGAUAACGUCCGGAAACGGGCGCUAAUACUGAAUACUAUCACCUGAGCCUAGGUCGGAUUAGCUAGUUGGUGGGGUAAAGGCCUAGCAAGGCGACGAUCCUUAACUGGUGUGAGAGGAUGAUCAGUCACACUGGAACUGAGACACGGUCCAGACUCCUACGGGAGGCAGCAGUGGGGAAUAUUGGACAAUGGGCGAAAGCCUGAUGCAGCCAUGCCGCGUGUGUGAAGAAGGUCUUCGGAUUGUAAAGCACUUUAAGUUGGGAGGCGUUACCAACAGAAGAAGCACCGGCUAACUUCGUGCCAGCAGCCGCGGUAAUAC
rnacentral:rRNA from 1 species